CUUUAUUUUCUCAAUGACGCCCCCUCCUCUUCGUAUUCUCCAUAUAGUUUCACUCACCCAAACAAAUAACCCCCUUCAUCAUCAGCCGUGGCAAAGCUACCAUACAGAUCUUGCUCUGAGCGGCGCUAUGGUGCUUCUCAUGGCACGGUGCCGCUGCUAGCCCAGCGUUCGUGGGGGGGUCGCCGCCUAGACGUGUAUGUUGCUGCCGACCCAGGCCCCUGCGAUCACCGCAAUUGAUUUGAGCCCGCAAUCUGUUGCCGAUGAAUCAAUCCCCGCGGACACCACUGGCCCAAUCCUCGUGCCCCGGUGUCGACCAUAGCUCCAGGCAAGCCACACGUCUCACUGCUGUCAUCCUCCUCCAGCAUCUCCUGCACCAUUAGGUGGGUGUGCUCUCCUUCUUCUCUAUCUCCCCAAAUCUAAGCGAUCUCAAGUUUAUUUGGGUUGGAACUUGGAAGCUCUGAUUUAUAUGUGGUAGGAAGCAUCUUUUAGAAGCGAGAUCUGUUCUGUUUCCAGCCGCCUCAUCUGUGCAGCAGUCCGGUCAGUCUUUCUAAUCCACAAUCCUCUCUAAUUCAAGCAUUCUCGGCAAGCAUGAAACAACCAUCUCUGUUCCAUCUUCGUUUUAUUUUAUUUAUUUAUUGUUGGAAGGAAUAAACAGAUGGAACAACGUUGAUUUAAAUCGACAGCGCUGAUUGGACGGAAUAAACAGGUAUAUUGCUGCCCGACAGAACUAUUGCACGGACCCGCCAAAAAUAGAGUAAAUAGCAUAAAGCUACUACUUUACGGGUUAGGAUUCUAAAAAACUACCGAAUUUAUUUUCUUCGUUGAUAACUAUCAAGUCAGGGGUCGGCUAUUUCAAAAAACACAAAACCCUCGGUGCUUUACAAUUAAUCAUGAUUAUGACAAUUGGGGCCCGCAUGUAAGAAAACUAAUAAGAGUGGACCAUUAAGUUGCACGUUAUGACAAAUGGGACCCAUGUGUCAGCCUCACAAAAAUCCCCAAUACAAAAAAAAACAAAAUCCCUAAAUUCUCUACUCGUUCCUGUCUUCUUCCUUCGAUCUGUCUUCUUCCUUCGCUCAGAUCGGGAGGCAGAGAGGAUCCCACCCUCCCGAUGCAGUCGCCCGUCGCCAGCCUGCGGCGCGCCGCCGCGCCUAGGAGUCGCCGGAUCUACUCUGGCCCUUCGCCCUGCGCCUCCCCGCUGUUCCUCCCCUCGCCGGGAUACCAGCGCCGCCGGCCGCCUUCCUCGAACCGACGAAAUCGAGCGACAUCAACUGUUGCGCCCCUGCAUCGAAGCUUGCCGGAAUCAGGUCGCUGACCGCUGGCCUCUCCCCUCCAUCCUCCCUAGUUCUAGAACGGGAGGAGCCGGCCAGGUGGAGGGUGGAGGCGCUCCAGCGUCGGGUGGAGUCCUCCUUGUGAGCCGAAGGAGGGGCUAGCGAGGGAGCUCAGCCUCCACCUCCUUGUGCCCCAAGCUCCGGCGUGCUCUCCCGGGUGCGUGGACGAGGGCACAGGCGGCUCGAUGUCGAUGCGGGGCAGGGGUCAAUGCGGCGAUGCGAAGCGGUUGCCGGCGACGUGCGACGGCACGGUGGAGACGGGAGCUCCAGUGGCAGCGCGGCAGUUCGUGCGGCGGCCCGUCCUGCGGUCGGACCUGGCUUGCGUGCGGCAGGUGGUGGAGGUGCGGUGGUGGAGGUGGUGGAGAAGGGAGAGAAGAAAAAAUAAAAGGAAGAAGAGAGAAUUUACAUGUGGAUCCCACGUGUAAGUUAACGGUCAAACAAAACAGUCAAACAAACAGAAUGUUUAAGAGUGGGUCCGACUUGUCAGAAAACGGCUUAAAUUGCUAACAACGAGCGUUUUGUGUUUUUUGAAACAGCCGACCCCUGAUUUGGUAGUUAUCAGCGAAAAAAUAAAUUUGGUAGUUUUUUAAAAUCUUAACCUGUAAAGUAGUAGCUUUAUGCUAUUUACUCCCAAAAAAGGACAGUACUAUUCCAUGAUGAAUGUCAUCAGAUCGAUCCAAUACCCGAAUAGAUGGGCAUGUGUGUUUCGGCAGUACUAUCCAAUCUGGACAUCAUCUAGCCUGGCAAGCUAGCACUGUAUUGGAUUAGGCGUGGUUUGGAUUUAUCAUUCAAAUGAAAGGUUUUGUAAAUAAUGUUGUGGACAUGAGUUGCUGGUUAAUCGACUGGCGGCUUCAAGUGGAA